GAUAAGAGAGACUUUGGGCAGUUCUUGUCAGUUGUGGGGCUGAGGAAGCAGAGCUCUGGGGGUGUCUCCACCAUGGCCUGGACCCCUCUCCUCCUCACCCUCCUCACUCUCUGCCCAGGGUCCUGGGCACAGUCGGGGCUGACCCAGGAAGCCUCGGUGUCAGGGUCUGUUGGCCAGGAGGUCACCCUCACCUGCAGGGGAAACAGCAACAAUGUUGGAACUUAUGCUGUAGGCUGGUACCAGCAGCUCCCUGGGGGUGCCCCCAAAACUGUGAUGCUUGGAACUACUCGGCCUUCAGGGAUCCCAGCUCGAUUCUCUGGCUCCAAAUCAGGUACCACAGCCUCCUUGAGCAUCACGGGGCUCCAGCCUGAGGAUGAGGCUGUCUAUUACUGUUCAACGUAUGACAAAAGCAUCAGUGGUGCCACAGUGCUCCAGACACAAGGGGAACUGAGACAAAAACCUGCCCCUGCCCCCUGAGGCUGGUCUCCCCUC